rnacentral:rRNA from 1 species
CACGUAGGGCGCAAGCGUUGUCCGGAAUUAUUGGGCGUAAAGGGCGCGUAGGCGGCCAUUCAAGUGACGGGUGAAAGCCCUCGGCUUAACCGAGGAACUGCCUGUCAGACUGGAUGGCUUGAGACCGGUAGAGGUGAGUGGAAUUCCCAGUGUAGCGGUGAAAUGCGUAGAUAUUGGGAGGAACACCAGUGGCGAAGGCGGCUCACUGGACCGGAACUGACGCUGAGGCGCGAAAGCGUGGGGAGCAAACAGG